UUGUUUGCAAAUGCAACACCUUCAAGAUUCACAUAUAUUUGUCAAUAAAAUCCAAUGUGAAUCUUGAUGAUGCUGCAUUAGCAAUAAA
rfam:Nicotiana sylvestris Nsyl_contig58654, whole genome shotgun sequence.